AUUGCUAAAAUGACGUAUGUAAAUCUUUUCAAAAACUAAACAAAAUAUGAAUAACAUCAAAAAAGAAAAACAUCCAUAAACUUAAAUUCUAAAAUGAAUAAAUAUGAGUCAAGCGUUCACCGAAUCAAUGAGAAACAAAAUUAAACCAGUGCCAAAACCGAUAGUUUUGGAUAAUUUAUCGAAAACUUUAACGAAAAUAAUAAGCAAAUUAAAAAAACAAAAUAAGGUUAAGGCGUGUACAAAACCGAACGGGGAUUGGUCACAAGUCGAUACCCGGAUCUGCAAUAUCGUCACUUGGACCGGAGCGAUCGUUAUCACGGCUGUGAUCCUGAGAUCGCUGUAUUUAAUGUAUAUUAAACCAGAAGGAACAUAGCUCAGAAAAGACCUACAAAAAAAUGUAACCUCUUGAUCCAGUGACAAAUUAUCAUAUAAAUGUUCAAUUUAAGGCCAAAGCAGAAUAAAUUGUAUCGCAUUAAGAGAGCUAUAUACUUACGAUCUAAAAAGAAUUGCGCAAUUCGUGCAUUCAAUAAACAAAUAUAUAACAUCAUUAUUUGGACGGGUAUUCUGUUCGUCAUAUUGCUGGUCCUGAGGAUCUUGUACAUUCAUUAUGUGAAACAAAACAGUGCCUACAGUGACACGCAAUUAUACUACCGAAGAUGAUUUGAAACCGUAAAUAACAUUUGAAUGUGAAUUGAGUUCGUCAAUGUAAUAAAGCUUUAAAUUUA